UACGAAGGGGGCUAGCGUUGCUCGGAAUCACUGGGCGUAAAGCGCACGUAGGCGGACUCUUAAGUCAGGGGUGAAAUCCUGGAGCUCAACUCCAGAACUGCCUUUGAUACUGGGGAGCUCGAGUCCGGAAGAGGUGAGUGGAACUCCGAGUGUAGAGGUGAAAUUCGUAGAUAUUCGGAAGAACACCAGUGGCGAAGGCGGCUCACUGGUCCGGUACUGACGCUGAGGUGCGAAAGCGUGGGGAGCAAACAGG
rnacentral:rRNA from 1 species